rnacentral:rRNA from 1 species
AUGAACGCUAGCUACAGGCUUAACACAUGCAAGUCGAGGGGCAUCAGGAAGAAAGCUUGCUUUCUUUGCUGGCGACCGGCGCACGGGUGAGUAACACGUAUCCAACCUGCCCUUUACUCGGGGAUAGCCUUUCGAAAGAAAGAUUAAUACCCGAUGGCAUAAUGAUUCCGCAUGGUUUCAUUAUUAAAGGAUUCCGGUAAAGGAUGGGGAUGCGUUCCAUUAGGUUGUUGGUGGGGUAACGGCCCACCAAGCCUUCGAUGGAUAGGGGUUCUGAGAGGAAGGUCCCCCACAUUGGAACUGAGACACGGUCCAAACUCCUACGGGAGGCAGCAGUGAGGAAUAUUGGUCAAUGGGCGGUAGCCUGAACCAGCCAAGUAGCGUGAAGGAUGAAGGCUCUAUGGGUCGUAAACUUCUUUUAUAUAAGAAUAAAGUGCAGUAUGUAUACUGUUUUGUAUGUAUUAUAUGAAUAAGGAUCGGCUAACUCCGUGCCAGCAGCCGCGGUAAUACGGAGGAUCCGAGCGUUAUCCGGAUUUAUUGGGUUUAAAGGGAGCGUAGGUGGACUGGUAAGUCAGUUGUGAAAGUUUGCGGCUCAACCGUAAAAUUGCAGUUGAUACUGUCAGUCUUGAGUACAGUAGAGGUGGGCGGAAUUCGUGGUGUAGCGGUGAAAUGCUUAGAUAUCACGAAGAACUCCGAUUGCGAAGGCAGCUCACUGGACUGCAACUGACACUGAUGCUCGAAAGUGUGGGUAUCAAACAGGAUUAGAUACCCUGGUAGUCCACACAGUAAACGAUGAAUACUCGCUGUUUGCGAUAUACAGUAAGCGGCCAAGCGAAAGCAUUAAGUAUUCCACCUGGGGAGUACGCCGGCAACGGUGAAACUCAAAGGAAUUGACGGGGGCCCGCACAAGCGGAGGAACAUGUGGUUUAAUUCGAUGAUACGCGAGGAACCUUACCCGGGCUUAAAUUGCAGUGGAAUGAUGUGGAAACAUGUCAGUGAGCAAUCACCGCUGUGAAGGUGCUGCAUGGUUGUCGUCAGCUCGUGCCGUGAGGUGUCGGCUUAAGUGCCAUAACGAGCGCAACCCUUAUCUUUAGUUACUAACAGGUCAUGCUGAGGACUCUAGAGAGACUGCCGUCGUAAGAUGUGAGGAAGGUGGGGAUGACGUCAAAUCAGCACGGCCCUUACGUCCGGGGCUACACACGUGUUACAAUGGGGGGUACAGAAGGCAGCUAGCGGGUGACCGUAUGCUAAUCCCAAAAUCCUCUCUCAGUUCGGAUCGAAGUCUGCAACCCGACUUCGUGAAGCUGGAUUCGCUAGUAAUCGCGCAUCAGCCACGGCGCGGUGAAUACGUUCCCGGGCCUUGUACACACCGCCCGUCAAGCCAUGGGAGCCGGGGGUACCUGAAGUACGUAACCGCAAGGAUCGUCCUAGGGUAAAACUGGUGACUGGGGCU